rnacentral:rRNA from 1 species
UACGAAGGGAGCUAGCGUUGUUCGGAAUUACUGGGCGUAAAGCGCACGUAGGCGGGCUGUUAAGUCAGGGGUGAAAUCCCGGGGCUCAACCUCGGAAUUGCCUCUGAUACUGGCAGCCUUGAGUUCGGGAGAGGUUGGUGGAAUUCCUAGUGUAGAGGUGAAAUUCGUAGAUAUUAGGAAGAACACCAGUGGCGAAGGCGGCCAACUGGACCGACACUGACGCUGAGGUGCGAAAGCGUGGGGAGCAAACAGG